rnacentral:rRNA from 1 species
GACGGGACCGCACAAGCGGUGGAUGAUGUGGUUAAUUCGAUGCAACGCGAAAACCUUACCCACCUUGACAUGUACGGAACCCUUUAGAGAUAGAGGGUGCUCGAAAGAGAGCCGUAACACAGGUGCUGCAUGGCUGUCGUCAGCUCGUGUCGUGAGAUGUGGGUUAAGUCCCGCAACGAGCGCAACCCUUGUCAUUAGUUGCUACAUUCAGUUGGGCACUCUAAUGAGACUGCCGGUGACAAGCCGGAGGAAGGUGGGGAUGACGUCAAGUCCUCAUGGCCCUUAUAGGUGGGGCUACACACGUCAUACAAUGGCUGGUACAAAGGGUUGCCAACCCGCGAGGGGGAGCCAAUCCCAUAAAGCCAGUCGUAGUCCGGAUCGUAGUCUGCAACUCGACUACGUGAAGUCGGAAUCGCUAGUAAUCGUGGAUCAGAAUGUCACGGUGAAUACGUUCCCGGGUCUU